ensembl:lncRNA
AAUUGAUCAGCUGCUUGACGCAUGCUACUCAUGCACAAGGGCCACAUAUUGUGUGAAGGCAAGAUUUUCACUUGGAGAAUGUCAGAAGAGCCAUAAUGCAAAGAAGGAAGCCAAGAAUCCGGCCUGUUGAUGAUGCAACAUCACACAUUCUUUCUUCGGGAGAUAAGCAGGGGCUUACUCAAAACGUCAUUGAUGAUUACAAAGGACCGGGAGUGUUUGCUACCAAGAGAUUUGAAAAAGGGGAUUUUGUCGUGGAGUACAGGGGUGAAAUCAUCUCUUUCGAAGAAUGUCAGUCAAAAAAGUACUCCACUACAGAGAGUACAUAUCUUUAUGAAUUUGAAUGGAAGAAUCAUAGAUGGUGCAUUGAUGCAUCCAGAGAAGAUGGGUCACUUGGACGAUUGGCGAAUGACGACCACAAAGUUUGCUCUGAGAAACAUAGAACCAGGAACUGAAAUUGUCUACAACUAUGGGGACUCAAAAUGGCCCUGGCGUAAAAAGGAGAACCUUGAGAAUGCCAACGUUGGGUCAGAUGAACCCAAGCUGUUCCCUGAUCAUGUUACUACUCAGUAGAACCUUGAGAAUGCCAACGUUGGGUCAGAUGAACCCAAGCUGUUCCCUGAUCAUGUUACUACUCAGGUGUUUUCUGUCGGCGGAAUUUCACUUGUGGAUUAUUCUGACUGAUGAAACCAUGGACGCCAGAGGAGGGUGUAGCAAUUAAGAGGCAAUUGAGAAGGUUUUAAUAAUGAAUAUGACACCGGGUAAGGCAGAUUGUGAAAAAUGCCUUUCCGAAGAACCUGAGGCACUCAAAAACCGAGACUGGAAGGCUGUAAAAUACUUAGUGAAAAACAGAAGUUAUGAACAGAGAAAGAAAUCGAUGUAAGAAAAAAUAGGAAAGGUUUUUUCUCAUCUCUUGGAUUGUUGGAUUGAUGCAAAAGUCAGGUUUUAUUACCAUGCAAAAUGGUAGAAAUGUUCACAAUACAGUUCACAAAGGUUCAACCUAUGCCUGCCUUCGGCAUUCAAGCUAUUGUUAAAAAAAAAAGUAAGUUGUUGCUGUUUCGAUUUUCAUAUUCACGUCAUAAGAACUGAAACUACCGAUGGCAUUAUGGUCUUUUUUUGUCACUUUACCAUACCAAGUAAUACUCAAAGUUGAAUAAAAGUGAGAAAUGUGAGUAAACUCUGAUUAUUUAAUUACUCAUGGAUAGAAAUCGGACAAAUGGGAGAGGGAGGUCGAUGUUCAAGCUGGAAAGUUAAAAACAAAAUGC